UUAAGUUCAGCGGGUAUUCCUACCUGAUCCGAGGUCAACCUUGAUAAGUGGGGGUUUCACGACCGGAACCCGCGACGUGCCCUGAGCGAGGAUGUUUACCGCACUCGGUACGACGACGAGCCCGCCACUGGAUUUGGGAGCUGCGGCAGCCGCAGGGCUCCAACGCAAGCCGGGGGCUUGAUGGUUGAAAUGACGCUCGA
rnacentral:misc_RNA from 1 species